rnacentral:lncRNA from 1 species
CUUUUGACGACGAAGAGAGAUCCUUCAACAUCCUUAUGACUCCAUUGGCUGAGGUCGAUGUUGAACUCGUAGAAGGUGACAUGAGCGGCCGUGAUGAGGAUCUCCUCAAUGAAUGGAUCGAUUCGCUGAAGAACUGUCAGGUUUAGGAGUUUUGUGCUCUGCUGGUCCAGAUUAGCCAUUAAUUUUCCGUUCUGCGACAUUUUUCAUAGUCCUUUUGGGCUCUGCCUCGAGCACAAGCGCCAUGGUUUUUCUGUGAGCUCUCUCUUUUGUAAAUAAAGUGUUUGAUGAGAUAGCCGAGAGAGAGUGAAAGAGUUGAGACUCGAGAUUGAUCUUGCUUUAACUUCUUUCAAACAUUUGGGAAAUAGCAUUUAUUUCUUUCAAAUUCUCUACUUUUUUUUCCUUUAUGUUAUUUAGACCCCAAAAUUAGAUUUAUUAUAAUCAUAUUUUACCCGUACACUAUUAAUCCCUUUUAUUUUAAAUUGUCAAUAUUAAUGUUUCAAUCAUAACUAAUGUGAUAACUCAUCGGUAACUGUAACAUUAACUUAAUUAUUAAUGUUUAUCAUGAAAUGAUGAGAUUAUUAUUCAAAACUUAGUAAACAUCAAUGACUAAUAUAAUAUGACAAUUACAGCUGAAUAUUAGUACAAUAAUUAGGAUUCCUAAAGUUAGUGAAUGUAUUAUAAUAUAUGUGUGUUACACUAUUUUAUGUCUCUCAAAUUCAAUUAAGUAAUUUCAGAGACCUAACCUUUUAUUACAUUAAAUUAAGAAUGUAUACAUGAAUGAAAGAUGUGCAGUUUUUGUUCUAUUUUUCACUAUUAUUUGCCAUUCAUCUACGUACGUCACUUGAUUUUUUGUGAUUAAUAUGCUUAAAUGGAUCUCUUUGAUAUAAAUAAAAUAAACGAAAAGUCUAAGAGAAAAAAAAAAUGAGGACCGAAAUUAUUACACCUACAACAAAUUUGCCCAGAGAGCAAUAAAUCAAACUUGCUUAGGAAGUUCAACAAUGAUUAGUUAAUAACUAAAAGAGCCUUCACCUAACAUGUUAAAGCUUCCGUCAAGCACAAACCCAUUGAAAGCUGUUUAGGUCCGUUUUAGAUCAUCGGAAAUUUGACAAAAUCAUAAAAACCCUCAUCUUAGAAAUUCCAAGCAUCAGGCAAUAGUCCUACUUUAUUGAUAUUGAGAGUUACACAAUAAAAGUUUCGUACAAAUUUUGCAAACGAAAAGCACAUAAUACACUUAACUAGGAGGGAAAAUUAAAGUGUAUAUAUUACAAACUGCUAACAAUAUACAGUAGUAAAAAUCACUCUUAUGAACUCACAAAUACUAGGCACCAAUAAGAGUGUGAUGCAGCCAUUCUAAAUGAAAGAGAAUACAAUUGUUUUACAACUAUGUCACAUCAGGAGAUAUGUUAGCAGGAUUAAUCCAGAUACCUUCGAACCCAAUUAACCAACUCGAGUCAGAAAUAUCUAUUGCUUUGAACCUCCAUUGAAAUAUCUUUUUCCCUUUUUCUUGUUUUGACUUGGAACUUUCCAGCAUCAUCUAUUUGAUCUUUUUUGAAGGUAAAAUAGCAAUCUAUAGGUUGCCAACAUGUUAUUCUGCCAAACCCCACCCCACCCCCUCCCGGGGGACAACAAAUAAUGCCUACUCAAAUUAUGUUUUCCAAUGGACGACAAUAUGCAAAUCGACCUAGUAGCCACAUUUUUCCCCCUUUCAACCACCGUUAGGCAACUUUUCUAACCUUCCUUCAUUGCCCACACCUACAGAACUAUAAUAAAAAGACUACAUUAUUAUUGGGGUAGAGAAAAUAUGCAGACUAUAUUAUUAUUACAUCACAUUUUACUAAUUAACUAGUGCACGACUUAUUUAGUGUCAAAUCAAGAACUAAUUAGAAAAGACAACUCUUGAUAAUACAGACCUUAACAAGCAAUAGCUAACAACAUCCCAUAUACUCUUAUUUUAGCCUUCACUAUCCUAGUAAAAACACAAAUAAGUCUUGCAAACGAACUUUUAUAAGUAAAUUCAACAUUAAUUAAGAUUAGGUAUCUACUGCACCUUCAAUCAAUGACUGGGUGAAUAGCAUGGUCAACCAUCUAGUUCCUGUAGCCUUCCAUGUACCUAUGUUAGUUACAUUUUAUAUAUUAAGCCAUGAAAAUGAAGAACUCUUCCAUUUCAAACAGUGUUAGAAGAUAUUUGCAAAGCCUAAAGAUAACAUACGAGGACCAAGAUAUACACAGAUAGUUUCUUUACGGGACUAAAGAGCUUUUUUAGAUGUUAAAACUGUUUCAAACUGUUUUUCUUGUUUGGUUUAACUAAGGAAGAGCUUGUGGAAGAUUAAAAAUGAUGUUUCCUGUUCUCUGUAGGAAGCUUUUAGGAGAUUUUUUGGGUUUUUUUGAAAGGUUGAAUUGUCAAAAAUACCUUGAUGUUAUUGUUUGCUAAAAGAUGUUAUGGACAACUAAACAACCAACAACAUUUUGUUAAAAGCUCUACUCGUGUAGGAUCUACUUAAAGAAUCUAUACCAAACAGAUUCUUAGACUAAUAACUCGAUCUUAAGUUUGUAAAAUUGGGCUCAGAAUCUCCACUAAGAACCCCGCUUCGGUGAGAAAGCCCAAGCCUGUUACUUUGUAUAAGCUUAUUCUGUAUGUUUGAUUGCAGGAACUGGCCGAUCAUACCGACGAGGUGAGUGUGCAACAUGAGGUGCUUGACGGGAUGUUUACUUUCUAUGAUACAACUAAAGCUAGCCUCAACAUAUAUCAGGUGCCUGCUUGUUUUUACCUUCUAGAUACUAAUAUUGUUUAGACGUGUAAUCUCUCUCUCCAUUGAACGCUAGACGGCUCGUCUCAAGCCUUCUACGUACAUCAGAGUCCUUCUUUAGCUUUUUAUGUAUAAAGUUUUGAUCUUUUUCCUUCAUUUGCUUGAAGCUCAUUACUGCAGAUUUUUUUUACAGGUUGCUAGUGUAACAUUCGACUUGCUGUUGCUUCUAGUGUUGGGAUCGUAUUUAAUUGUGCUUUUCAGCUUUCUUGUCACAACAACUUGGGUAUUACUCUUUCUCCAUAUCAAGCUUGAAGUUCUAAAUUUCAGUUUUAUCUUGUAUUUGAUGUUUUACAGGUUGCUGGAAAUGUGUUUGGUUAAUCAGAAAGAGAGCAAGAAAAUGAAAGAAAUCUAUUUCACUUUUUAUUUAUCAGCAUGAUUACAUUCACAAUGAAUCUAAGCUGCUAUUUAUACUUAAAUGACUACACACGAGAAUCUUCUUGCUAGAUAUUUCUAGAAACUCUACACGCACACUCGCACUGAGCUAGUGGUUACUAAAACCGUUACAACGAUAUUGCCAGCUCAGCAUAACCAACUUAUAACUAACACACUCAGCUGCAGGGGAAACCAUCAAGCUUACUGUGCAUCCUCUGUAAUCAAGCUUCUUUAAGCAUGCUCUGCAGAUCAUACGUCUGAAUUAUCGAAACAAGAUGAAUUAUUUUUUGUUUAUUUCAGCAGGCGAUCUAUGAGCGGAAUUUCUUGCAACAAAAGAUGUGUGUCCACCGGCUUGUAUUCAAUUCGCGAUGGAAUAAGAUCCCUUCAGCUUAUGAGAACUUCAAAUCAACUUAGGUCAUAUUUACACAAGGGCGCACAUGAUAUUAAUCUAAUGGCAAUUAUAUCAUCUAAAAUCCAAAACGAAGAGUCUCCCAUUUUCUUGUUCUCUACUCUGUUCAUAUUAUCAUAAAUUGACGAUUGCAAGGCAGCCGCAGAAAGGGAAUCGGCUUUUGGAAUAGGCGGCAUUUUUUUCAUAUGAAACAUAAAACAAUUUAAUAUCAAUUUUCUUCAGGAGACUGAGCAGAUUGUCUCGCAAGUGGCGCAUCGGUAUUGUAACGUCUGCUGGGUCUUACAUUAUCCACAAAAAUAACUCGUCCAUCUAGUAACUGCAAGUACAUACUUUGAGAUGCUUAAACUCAACAAUAUAAGCAUGGUAAAUUAGAGAAAAAUGAUGCAACUUUACCUUCCCAUUCAUGUCUGCCAAGGCUUUUUGGGCUUCCUCUUCUGUACUGAAAGUCACAUACCCGUAACCUUUUGAUCUAUUCUUACCUUUAUCCAUUAUUAUUGUAGCUGCAAAAAGAAAAGAAUCGGAUAUUAGAAAAUAGUGAAGAGGGAACAGGGGUUGAGACUUAAAAUAGAAAUAGACCAAAUCCUCAGUGACUUGGCCAAACUGUGAAAAAGCAUCAGCUAACAUCUCUUUAGUGGUUGAGAAAGAUACGCCUGCAAAGGAUGCCAGUUAAUUUUAUCAUAAUUAGAUGGUAAGAUUGCAAAUUCUGCAGCCAAAGGUAGUACGGAACUGAAUGAAGGAAAUCAAAUAUGAAUAUGUUUUCAAUCUCAAAAUAUUAAGAGUUACAAGUUCAAGGGAAUCAGAUGAUGGCAUGGUUGAAUUUUAUAAAUAUUUGAUAUUUUGGACCGAACAGGGCAAACAGAUGGAUCCAGAUAAUCAAGAAAAACAUCAAUUCCAUGCAACCAAAUUAGUGUGGGCAAUGCAAUUGAGCAACACUAUAAAAUUAUUCAAAGAAAUCUCUAGGUCAGUAUCCAAAUAUAUGGCUCCGUCCGUUCCACCACCACAACCAAAAAAAUCAGAUCCCCCCAUUUGGAUUCGAUUGAUUAAUUUGAGCAUAUAAAAUCGGGUUUUAAACUUCCCUAAUCAAAAUUUAUAUUCCACAGAAUCAGUUCCUUUAACAUGAUGCAUGACAUAAUAUUUUGUUUGCAAAAUAAAGAAGAAAGAUGACAUAAUAGAAACACUCACAGAGAGAGAAUACCUUCGACGAAAAGCUUCGAAGUGAAUCCUCUGUAAAAUACGAGUUGAGCUGCUGAAUUUUUCAAGUUUGAAUGAGAGACUGCGCCGUUUCUGAAAAUGUUUUUUUCUCAUUAGCGCCGCCAUUUUUGUAAUAGAGGGUAAAGAAAUAAGUAACAAAGUAAGAGGUGAGCAGAAGCGGCCCAAUUUAGUUAUAUGCCAUGUAUGCGAUCAAAAUUGAAUGGUUAAAUGGCAGCCACUGUGUUACAUCUUGUGUACGUAACAAACCGCCUACAUGGGAUCAUUGGAUUCGGGAAUAUGAAAUCCAAUGGAUAAUAUUGAAUUUAACGAAAAAUAGAUUACAGGUUGCAUUAGUCCAAGUUUAUUUCAAACAAACCAGCUGAUGAAAUAGCCGCUAAUCAAAUUUAAAAGGGAAAAAAAAAUCAAAUUAUAGGUUAUAGAUCUUAUUUCCAUCUUAAAUCUGUCUUUCAUGGUGACUCAAUGUGUAUACUAAUUUAUAAUUUGGAUCUAUAUUAGAGCUAAUGCUUCCCUAAAUAUCUAAUGAAAAUUUUCUUUUCAUUUAAUAAUAAAGAAAACUUGCAUUAAAACUAAAAGUACGGUAAUACCUGAUUUAUAAAUAGAUUGCAAUGUAAUUUUGAUAAAUAAAACAAUAAUUUAUGAAAUGGUUAUAACAUAAUUUUAAUUUUUUUUUCAAAAAGGAAAAACAACAAAAGUAAGAAAUAGAGAAUGAGGGCUACAAACUUUGUAUCUUAAACGGCCGUUAGAUUAUUUGUAAAUGAAAGCAACGGUGAGAUAUUGGUGGCUUAUGGAAACAGGUAAUCAUAAGGACUAUGAGUUUUUUUUUUUUUGUUGUUGUUACAUUGAUAUAUUACAAUCAUGAUUCUAUUAAUAUUUACAAUCAGAAUUUUAUCUGACUAUCUUUCAUAAUUCUAAACUAGUACAGCCUAAAUUCCUAUUCUCAUAUAAUAUCAAAGAGAGAUAUAUAUUAUUUUCCUCUAUUAACGAAGAGAUAUUUUUACUUCUAUCAAAUUUAACUAGAACGAGAAUUAAGUCAUUUUCAAUAGUCAGGACUCAGAACUCAUACACGCUAGUUUGAAAGUGUGGGGUGUGACAAUGAGCCAAGAGACCAUUGACAAGUACAAAAGAGUAGUUGCAAUUAAUUCAAACCGCUACACACGCUAUUGCAACCAAAUCGAGGGCCCUUUUUUGUUUGUUUCAUUGAAAAGUAGUUUGCACAAUUAAUUCAAACCGCUACACACACUAUUGCAUCUUUUGAAAAAGAAAAAUGGAAUAGUUUUCCAAGAUUAAUUCAGAGAAUAAGAUUUAAUAAUAAUGAUGUUAGAAAUCUUGAUAUUUGAAUCUUAAUAUUAUGUAUCAUUGAUUUAUUAAAUAAUAGAUUUCAUAGUUUCUAAAAGUAUUUAACCACUUGAUAAAUGUUAUAUUUGUUGGGACUAAAUUAGGACUUAAAUGUUGGAAUAUCUAACAUUGCAUAAAUAAAUAAAAACUUAAUAAUUUAUCUUCACACGACUAAUUAUUUUUACAUCACAACUAACCUUAAUUAUUUUUAAAGUAACAAUAUUAUUAAAUUGCGCUGACUAGUUAUCAAAAGAUGAAAGCAUGUUAAAAUAAGAAAGUACUAAGAAACAUGUGCUUAAACAAAGGUUAAGGCUACGAACAAUUAAGAAGAAACAACUUACAAUCAAAGGUUAAGAUUAUGAACAAUUUAAGGAAGGUAUUGAGCAGAGAAAGGGACGGAAUGGUUUUCUGAAUUGCCGGUGACAAGAAUGUUUGUGUUGUGAAAAGAAAUCCAAUGGUUUGUAAAUGGGUUGAAUUUUUCGCUCGCUUCAAUGACUUGCUUAUGCCCAAUAAAUUACUUUGCACAAUAGUAUUUGGGAUCCUAACAAUCAACUCUUAAUUUGGUCCCAAUAUAUUACUUUAUGAAUGCUUGUGUUGUUUUUUUUUAUAUAAAAUAAUUUAUUUAACUAAUCAUAGAAAUAAGAGAGAAAAGGGGGCAUUUGUUGACUCAAAGUCAAUUACAAAUACAUAACUCUUUCACGCGUUCAUGAAUUUCCAUGAAAGAGAGUGCCUCUCGUCUCUUUCCGGACAGUGACUCCAAUUAUGUUAACGUGACAAAUACAUAACGCUAUUACAUACAAGAAUAAGUUUUUGGAGCCGAGACUUGAGGGAGGUUCUAUCUAAUUCUAAAGGUUGUAACCAAAUCAUUAUCCCCAAUUUUUUUCAGUUAAAUAAAAUAAAAUUUAUGCUUAAGUAUAAAUAAUUUUUUUAAGUUAAAUAUAAAAUAAAAUUCAUGAACUUCCUAGAAAGAAAGAAAACCCUUCACCUUCUUCGUGACAACAAAUGAUGUUGAUAUGACAAAUACAAGCGCUAUUACAGGGAACAGCAUAAGACCGAGACUUGAUAAAUAUUAAAUAUAUAUUAUAAGUGGAGCAAACGAACAGAAUAAUAGAUAUUUUAUAAUACUCUUCAUAAAAAUCCAAGUUUUGAGCUGGCCUAUAAGCUUAUCUAGUGAAGUCUGGGUAUCCGCGUUGCCCAAGGUUCCGUUUGAAUCCAGGCCGUGUAGAUGUUUAAGACAUCGCAUAUGGACGGAGUGGAAAUAUUUUCAGUUGACUGAAUUAAAUAAAAAUAUAUUACAAUCAUAUUAUAUAUUAGCAGCAAAAAUAAAAAGAAAUGAAGAAAAACGCAUGCAAGACUUAGACAAGUCAAUUAAAAGCUGGGAGUAUCAUCAGUUCAAUUGAUUAUAAAUAGCGUAGAGCCAUCCUCUCGUUGUUGCAGAACUGAAGCAAAGAGACUCAGAAAGAGUGUGUGUAGGUGAUUAUAAUUAAGAAGAUAUAAUGUGUGGUUCAAAAAGAGUGUGGGUGAGUGAGUUAAUUUUCAUAUUAUUAGUAGUAAAAGGGUGGUGGAGUGAGGGAUGUUUGGAGCAAGAGAGGUCUGCUCUCCUCCAACUCAAACAUUUCUUCAAUGAUGAUCACUGUCUUCAAAACUGGGUAGACGAUGAGAAUUAUUCAGAUUGUUGUCAGUGGGAAGGGGUUGAGUGCAACGACACCACUGGCAGAGUGAUUGAAUUAGAUCUAGCACUAACUCGGAAUUGGGAAUCAGCAGAGUGGUAUAUGAAUGCCUCUCUGUUUACUCCCUUUCAACAAUUAGAGUCUCUUGAUUUAAGUUUGAACAAUAUAGCCGGUUGUGUUGAAAAUGAAGGUCCUUAAUUUACUCUAUUUUAAUUUUUCCUCCUCGUAAUUUCUUACAUCUAUCUGAUCCCUUUUGGCUUUUGUGUUAAUUUGCACGUGAUACAAUAAAAUUAUUUUUUAUUUUUUAUUUUUUAUUUUUUGGCAGGUCUGGAUAAGUUAUCAAGGUUGAACAACUUGAAGUUUCUUCAUUUAGACAUUAACCACUUCAACAACAGCAUCUUUUCGUCUCUAGGUGGUCUUUCAUCACUCAGAAACUUAUCAUUGGCUGGUAAUGAAUUGGAUGGAAGUAUUGAUAUUAAAAGUAAGUACGCUUCAACCCUUCUCCCCUGUCCCAUCUUUUGUGGAUCUUAUUUCACUGAGCAGCUGGAAGUAUUGAUACGAGAUCUAGCUAGACUCUUGUGAGUUUAGGCUUCAAGGCUUUGAAUAUUAUAAAAAUAGGAUUAAGAAAUUAUCAAUACAUAAUGUUAUUACAUACAAUAAUAGUUCUAAAGAUUGUAACAAAAUCAUUAUCCCCAAUUUUUUUAGUUAAAUAAAAUAAAAUUCAUGCUUAAGUAUAAAUAAUAUUUUGGACAUUCUUGAUAUUUGUCCUUUUAAGAUAAACAGCAACCCAAUUAUCUAUUUGUUUGUCUGUUUAUUUUUUUUAAUAACAGUUUGUUAGCAUAAAUAUUUACCUGUGAAGUCGAGGAGGAGAAAAUGUUAGAAAAAAUAAAAAGAAAAAAAAAUUAAGGGGGAUAGAAUCAGAUUUUCUUUUUUGAGCAAAGAACAUACGUAAAAAGAUAUUAAAUCUAUUAAGUCUAAUUGUCUAUAACGGCAAAUUGCAUAACGAAUAAUUUAUCAGUGUAAAAUAAAUUUUAUUAGAUUCUGAUUAUUUGUUUGAUUUCUUUUCUCUCUGGACUCAACUUAUAUUGUUUAUUUGAUUUGAUUUUAUUAUUUUUUAAAGAAACUUAUUGUUUAUCAAUACUGAAUGGCUUAAGAUUGAUGUCUUGAUAAUAGAUGGGGCAAUAUUGCAUUUUUAAUGCAGUAGACUUUGAAGUUAUCAUUGACAAGCUUAGAUGAAUUACUAGGACCAUAAUACAAAUGUCACAGGCAUCUAAGGCACUUACCAAGUUUUGAGUACAUUCCUGUUCCUAUCUAAUAGUUUUUAAUUUCUUUAAUUUAAGACCCCAUUCAUUAAUAUUUUCUUUAUUGUGAAGUUAAUUUUUUUAUUUGAAAUUAAUUUUUUUUAAAAAAAAAUUUGUUGACUUAUAGUUUACCUUUGUGUUAAAUGUUGGCAAAAUUAUUUUGUCCAAACCAUUGUUUUUGUCCUGAACGUCCAACUAAAAACUGAAUCAAGGGUUAAGUUGUAAGGUUUCAGUUCGUCCGUUAUAUUAAUUUAUUGUUUUAAUAUUAUGCAGUACAAAUAGGUGUAUAAGUCCAUCAUUUAAAUACAAAAUGAAACCACAUCAAUAUAGAAAUUAAAAGAAAAUGAAUUCUCACAACCAUACGGUGAGAUUCAAACUCUCUAUCUCCGAGGAUUUCUUAAAGUUAUUCUUAAAUUAUACUUAAAUGGUUAAAUUUAAUAAAUAAAGGUUUAAUUCUUUUCUCGCACAUUGUAGAAGCAAAUUUUCUCCUCUGUUGAAAAUUCUAAAUAUUUUUUUAAAUUAGGUUUCAACUAUGACAUAUCAGGAGAGAUUUGAUACAUUUCUAAUGCAACUGAUAUAACAACACAACUUUGUGAUUUUUACUAUUCAGGAGAAAAAGAACACAACCUGUAUAACCCAACCGUUUAUAUACAAACAUCGAAUCGCUUUUUAAAAUUAAAUUGGGAAAAUUGGGGAUAUAAUAGUUUUUCAUAUAUAUACAUUUUUUCCUUACAAAUUUAAAUUCAUGGUUGUCAUGAGCUAAAUAUACCUGCUUAAAGCCACUCAGUCGAACCCUUUGAGAGCUGCUUUAAAUUUUUCGGAUUAGCCAUAUUCUUUUCACUGAGAUUUAACAUAAAAAAAAGGAGAAAAUAAGUUAUUUAAUUAACUCUAUUUUAAGUGUUGGCAUAAAUACAGGACUCGAUUCCUUGAGUAACUUGGAGAUGCUGGACAUGAGCGACAAUGCAAUCGACAAUCUAGUGGUUCCUAAAGGUAUACAAAAUGUUCAAAUAUUAAUAAUUUGGAGGACAAUUUAAUUGAUUUGAUAAGGGAAUGCCCAAUGACACUUACCCAAAAUAAUUUAAUCCGAAAUUGUAUCUCAAAUAGAUUACAGAGGUUUGAGGAAGUUGAAUACCCCUUUUUUGGGGGGGGGGGGGGGGGGAGAGGGAGGCAGUGAUAUAUGGAAGCAAGGUGUUGCAAUCAAUAAAAAAAAUUUGUUGGUCAAUAUUCAAGGACUCAUCCAAAGUAAUCGUUAAAGUCUAGAGGUCUGCCCUCCACCAACUCAAACAUUUCUUCAAUGAUGAUCAACGUCUUCAAAACUAGGUAGACGCGGGAGAUGAUGAGAAUAAUUUAGAUUGUUGUCAGUGGGAAGGGAUUGAGUGCAACAACACCACUGGCAGAGUGAUUAAAUUAGAUCUAGCACAAACUCGAAAAUGGGAAUCAGCGAAGUGGUAUAUGAAUGCCUCUCUGUUUACUCCCUUUCAACAAUUAGAGUCUCUUGAUCUAAUUGGGAACAAUAUAGCUGAUUGUGUUAAAAACGAAGGUCAUUAAUUUACUCUAUUUUAAUUCUUCCUCCUCGUAAUUUCUUACAUCUAUCUGAUCCCUUUUGGCUUUUGUUUAAUUUGUACGUGAUACAAUAAAAUUAUUUUUUUUCAGGUCUGGAGAGGUUAUCAAAGUUGAACAACUUGAAGUUUCUUGAUUUAGGCUUUAACCACUUCAACAACAGCAUCUUUUCAUCCCUAGGUGGUCUUUCAUCACUCAGACAAUUAUCAUUGGCUGCUAAUCGAUUGAAUGGAAGUAUUGAUAUUAAAGGUAAGCAAGCUUCAUCCUUUCUUCCGUGUCCCAUCUUUGUGGAUCUUAUUUCAUCAACCAGCUGGAAGUAUUGAUACGAGAUCUAGCUAGACUCUUGCUAGUGCAAGCUUCAAGGCUUUGAAUAUUAUAAAAAUAGGUUUAAGAAAUUAUCAAUAUAUGCAAUUUUCUAUGCUUCUCAUAAUCAGACACAAUUCAAUCUAAUUAUUUCGUUUGUCCUGUCUUCAAAAGUAAAGAAUUGUACACUAAACGGAAAUCGACAUCGUAGCUUUUUAUUUUUUCUAAUGCUCUUUCUUUGUUAACGAGUUUAUAUCCUGAGAGUGGAUUGGAUUAAAAAAAAAAAAAAAGUUUUGAUGUUCAAGGUAAGCCAUAAUAACAUGCAUCUUAUUUAUCUGCCUAUAUCUAAAUUUGUGCACUGAAUUUAGUAUUUUGGUUAGUGUGAAGGGAUCAGAUAUUGGCUUCCAUAAACCAACUUGUAUUUACUUAAUUAAUUAAUUAACACCAUUUAGUAUUUAACAAAUUAAAAUUUCGUGUUUAAUUUGUCUUUUUUUUUUUUUUUUGAAACAAGAAUAAGGUAUAGCAGUAGGUAAAGUUGAAAUAAAUUUUUAUUCCUUACAAAUUUAAAUUCGCUGUUGUCAGCCAAAUAUACCUACUUAAAACCACUCAAUCAGGCCCUUGGCAACUGUUUUUUUAAGGUUUUUCUGGUUAGCCGUAUUCUUUUCUUAUUAAUAAAAUUCUUUUCGCUGAGAUUUAAGAUAAAAAUAAAAAAGAGAAAAUAAGUUAUUUAAUUAACUUUGUUUUAAGUGUUGGAAUAAAUACAGGACUGGAAUCCUUGAGUAACUUAGAGGAGCUGGACAUGAGCGGCAAUGCAAUCGACAAUCUAGUGGUUCCUAAAGGUAUACAAAAUGUUCAAAUAUUAAUAAUUUGGAGGACAGUUUAAUUGAUUUGAUUAGGGAAUGCCCAAUGACACUUACCCAAAAUAAUUUAAUCUGAAAUUGUAUCUCAAAUAGAUUACAGUGGUUUGAGGAAGUUGAAUACCCUUUAUUUGGGGGGGGGGGGGGGGGAGAGGGAGGCAGUGAUAUAUGGAAGCAAGGUGUUGCAAUCAAUAAAAAAAAUUUGUUGGUCAAUAUUCAAGGACUCAUCCAAAGUAAUCGUUAAAGUCUAGAGGUCUGCUCUCCACCAACUCAAACAUUUCUUCAAUGACGAUCAACGUCUUCAAAACUAGGUAGACGCGGGAGAUGAUGAGAAUAAUUUAGAUUGUUGUCAGUGGGAAGGGAUUGAGUGCAACAACACCACUGGCAGAGUGAUUAAAUUAGAUCUAGCACAAACUCGAAAAUGGGAAUCAGCGAAGUGGUAUAUGAAUGCCUCUCUGUUUACUCCCUUUCAACAAUUAGAGUCUCUUGAUCUAAUUGGGAACAAUAUAGCUGAUUGUGUUAAAAACGAAGGUCAUUAAUUUACUCUAUUUUAAUUCUUCCUCCUCGUAAUUUCUUACAUCUAUCUGAUCCCUUUUGGCUUUUGUUUAAUUUGUACGUGAUACAAUAAAAUUAUUUUUUUUCAGGUCUGGAGAGGUUAUCAAAGUUGAACAACUUGAAGUUUCUUGAUUUAGGCUUUAACCACUUCAACAACAGCAUCUUUUCAUCCCUAGGUGGUCUUUCAUCACUCAGACAAUUAUCAUUGGCUGCUAAUCGAUUGAAUGGAAGUAUUGAUAUUAAAGGUAAGCAAGCUUCAUCCUUUCUCCCGUGUCCCAUCUUUGUGGAUCUUAUUUUUAUUUAAAUUGUCUUUAAUUUGUCUUAUUUUUUAUUUUUUGAAGCAAGAAUAAGGUAUAGCAGUAGGUAAAGUUGAAAUACAUAUUUAUUCCUUACAAAUUUAAAUUCGUUGUCAGCCAAAUAUACCUACUUAAAACCACUCAAACAUGCCAUUGGCAGCAGUUUUUUAGGUUUUUCUAGUUAACCGUGUACUUUUUUGCUUAUUAAUAAAAUUCUUUUGUGCCGAGAUUUAAAAUAAAGAAGGAGAAAAUAAGUUAUUUAAUUAACUUUGUUUUAAGUGUUGGAAUAAAUACAGGACUGGAAUCCUUGAGUAACUUAGAGGAGCUGGACAUGAGCGGCAAUGCAAUCGACAAUCUAGUGGUUCCUAAAGGUAUACAAAAUGUUCAAAUAUUAAUAAUUUGGGGGACAGUUUAAUUGAUUUGAUUAGGGAAUGCCCAAUGACACUUACCCAAAAUAAUUUAAUCCAAAAUUGUAUCCCAAACAGAUUUCAUAGGUUUGAGGAAGUUGAAUACCCUUAAUUUAGGGGGAAGCGAAAUUCGAAUGAUAGAUGGAAGCAAGGUGUUGCAAUCAACAGGAUCACUACCGUCCCUCAAAACACUUUGCCUUUCGUAUACUAAUUUUACGGGAACAGUAGUUAAUCAAGGUAAGUAAAUCUUUUAUGUCGAAAAUAAUUGAAUUAAUAUAUAUAGCUAAAAUUUAUUGUUUCUACUUCUUUCUAAAUAGAAUUGCACAAUUUCACCAACUUGGAAGAAUUGAUAUUGUUCGAGUCUGAUCUCCAUGUAAGCCAGCUUCUGCAAAGCAUUGCAUUAUUCACUUCGUUAAAGUAUUUGUCAAUGCGAGUUUGUACACUUACAGGUGCCGUACAUGGUCAAGGUAAAUUACGGGUAUCUGAAGCUUUUAUGAUAUUAAUUCGAUAAUAAUUCUUUCUUUUCAAGUUAAUUUUUUCCCCUAAAAUAAGAUUUUUUUUCUUUUAAAUUUUAUAUAUUUUCAUUGUCCAAUAGUUCUAGCUUCUCUUAAUUGCAGGAUUCUUGAUUAAGGUUAAUGAAAUUUUAGUUCUGUUAUGUUAAGAAUAUUUCGAUCGCUUAGAAGAGUAAAGAAAAAUAAGUAAAUUAACCAAAAAAAAAAAAGAAAAGGACCGGAUUAUCCUUAUUCCCUUGCAUUAUGUGAUCAAUAUCAAAAUUAUAACCAUUUCUUGUUUAUUGCUUGUAGAUUUUCAUAAAUUCAAGAAUUUGGAACAUCUGGACAUGGAUGGGGCGCAGGUUGACGUCAACACCAGUUUUCUUCAAAUUGUCGGCGAAUCGAUGCCUUCUCUUAAGUUUUUAUCACUGACAUAUUUUAGUCUUAAUAAAAACACCAUUCUUGAUCAAGAUCAAGGUUAAUUAAUGAUUCUCCUUCUCCCUCUCUCGCAUCAUAACUAAAUUUAAUUGAGAAUAUCUAUAAUGCCAGCUAUUUAUAAACUUAAUGAAUGAUGAUAAGGAGCUAUUAUAAUGACAAAAACAACUGUAAAAUAGUGCGCUGUUGUAGUGUUAAUUGAAAAAUAAUGCUAAUUUUAUAGUUAUUUUGUUGCCAUUACGUCAGAUUCCAUUGUUCAAUUAUUUAAGUUUUAUGCAAUUAUAUUUUUCAGGACUUUGUCGGUUAGUGCAUCUGCAAGAGUUAUACAUCGGCUAUAACGAUUUGAGAGGUAGCUUGCCAUGGUGCUUGGCAAACAUGACAUCCCUUCAAGUGUUAGAUGCCUCUUCUAAUCAACUUACUGGAAACAUCUCCCCAGGCCUUUGUGAGUUGGUGCUUCUGAGAGAGUUACACAUUGAUAACAAUGAUUUUGGAGGUAGCUUGCCUUUGUGCUUGGCAAAUUUGACUUCCCUUCGAGUAUUAGAUGUCUCUUACAAUCAACUUACUGAAAACAUCUCCUCAUCUCCCCUCUUGCAUCUAACAUCUAUCAAAGAGCUCAUACUUUCAAAUAAUCACUUCUUCCAAAUCCCUAUUUCACUUGAACCACUUUUCAAUCUCUCAAAACUCAAGACUUUCGAUGGUGAAAUAUGCGCAGAAACUGAGUCACAUUAUAAUUCUUUGACCCCAAAAUUCCAACUGACUUCUAUCUCACUGUCUGGUUACAUAGAUGGUGGCAUAUUUCCCAAAUUCUUGUACCAUCAGCAUGACUUGAAGAAUGCUGAUCUCUCACACCUUAACUUGAGUGGAGAAUUUCCAAAUUGGUUGCUAGAAAACAAUACAAACUUAGAGACACUUCUUCUUGCCAAUAACUCUCUUUUUGGAUCAUUUCGGAUGCCAAUUCAUUCCCACCAGAAUUUAGCAACAUUGGAUGUCUCCAACAAUUUCUUUCAAGGCCAUAUUUCGGUAGAAAUCGGAACAUAUCUGCCAGGUUUAAUGGAUUUAAACUUAUCUAGAAAUGCUUUCAACGGUAGCAUUCCCUCUUCAUUUGCUGAUAUGAAAAUGUUGGAAAGGUUGGACAUAUCUGACAAUCAGUUGACUGGUGAAAUCCCUGAGCGCAUGGCCACGGGUUGCUUCUCAUUAGAAAUUCUUGCAUUGUCAAACAAUAGUUUGCAAGGUCAUAUAUUCUCUAAAAAAUUUAACUUGACAAAUUUGAUGACGUUGCAGUUGGAUGGUAAUAAAUUCGCUGGAGAGAUCCCAGAAAGCUUAUCUAAGUGCUAUUUGUUAGAAGGAUUAUAUCUGAGUGAUAAUCAUCUCUCUGGUAAGAUUCCAAGAUGGUUGGGUAAUUUGUCAUAUUUAGAAGAUAUUAUAAUGCCCAAUAACAAUCUUGAAGGACCAAUUCCAAUCGAGUUUUGUCAGCUUGAUUCUCUGAAGAUUUUAGACCUUUCAAACAAUAGUAUUUUCGGAACCUUACCAUCUUGUUUUAGUCCAGCAUCUAUCGAACAAGUUCAUUUGUCAAAAAACAAGAUAGAAGGACGAUUGGAAAGUAUAAUCCAUGACAGCCCUUAUUUGGUGACAUUAGAUCUUAGUUAUAACAGCUUACACGGAAGUAUUCCAAAUCGGAUUGACAGACUACCUCAAUUAAACUACCUUCUUUUAGCUCAUAAUUAUAUUGAAGGCGAAAUACCAGUUCAAUUAUGCCAGUUGAAGGAAGUGCGGUUGAUUGAUCUUUCUCAUAAUAAUCUAUCUGGUCAUAUUCCUCCUUGCUUGGUUAAAACUGCACUCAGUGAGGCAGUAGCUCCAACUUCUAGUUCGUGUGGUCGAGCGUCUGGCUAUGCACAGUUCACAACUUCUCAUAAUACAAGUGGAUCUCCGAUGGGAAAGGAAGAAAUUGUACAGUUCACAACAAAGAAUAUGUCCUACUAUUAUCAAGGAAGAAUUUUGACGAGUAUGUCUGGGAUUGAUCUUUCUUGUAACAAACUGACAGGUGAGAUUCCUACUCAAAUUGGAUGUCUUACAAGGAUUCGUGCACUAAAUCUAUCUCAUAACAAUUUGACGGGCACAAUCCCGACAACAUUUUCAAACCUGAAGCAAAUUGAAAGCUUGGACCUCUCCUACAACCUGCUGCAUGGGAAAAUCCCUUCUCAGCUCACAGUGCUAAAUACAUUGGCGGUCUUCACAGUAGCAUACAAUAACUUAUCAGGCAAAAUCCCAGAUAGAGUCGCACAAUUUUCAACUUUUGAGGAAGAUAGCUAUGAGGGGAAUCCUUUUCUUUGUGGAUGGCCACUGUCUAAAAGUUGCGAUGAUAAUGGAUUAUCAGCAGUGACACCAGAAGCUGACACUGAUAAUGAAGAAGGUGAUAGUUUAAUUGACAUGGACAGUUUCCUGAUCACUUUUACAGUAUCUUAUGGAAUUGUGAUAUUAGGAAUUAUUGGAGUUUUGUACGUAAACCCCUAUUGGCGGCGAAGAUGGUUUUACCUUGUUGAAGUGUGUAUGACCUCUUGCUACUAUUUUGUGGCAGACAAUCUUCUUGUUCCUAGAAGAUUCUAUGGUGGAUGGAUGUAAUUUCAUUUACUUCACAACCCACAAUUUUUUUUUUUCCUUUUUGCCCUCUUCCUCACAAUAAACACACCUAACACACCAAGCCGUGCCCAAAAUAAUCCUAUUUUAUUCAUGUCAUGAAUCCAAAAACUAUCCCAGCUCACUUUGUUUAACCAGCAUAACUAAAUUGUGGGUAUAAAUGAACACACUUUCGAAGCCUGUAACUUAUAAUAAGCUCAAACCCAAAAAUGACAUUUAAAUCCUGCAAGUGUUUUUCAUCAUCCCGAACAAAAAGAAACAAGAAUAAUUAUAUACCAAUAAUUUUUCCAUAAAAAAUACUGAUUUGAGUUGAAACACUAUACAAACUGGGUUUUAUUACACUUGCAGAAAGCUACACGGUAGACAAAAUCUAGCAGCUACAUAUUGGUAUCACUUUCAGCUGGUCAUGAAUGGUGUGCAUUCAGCAGUGCUCAAUAGACCAUGUCUAUGAAUUGAUUGUCCUAUUACAUAUAAAAGCUGGUCAGAUAUACAAGGAAAAAAAUAAUAAUUGAAAAUGCAUCACAAAAAAUAAGUGUUUCGCAUUAGUGUUUGCACUCUAAGCAUGGCAAAGUGGUGCGGGGUUCAUGAUUUUGAAGACUGUGAUAAGUGAAAAAUAGUUCAAUCCACUGAUGAACAUAAAUUUAUUUACAUGUCAAUUUAGAUAUCAUCAAAAAGUAAACAGUAAUUCACAGUCACUUAAAAUAGUUGAUAAAAUGCGUGCCAUGAAUGCAUUUUUGUACAUAAGAAAUCCAAAGAGUAUUUCUGACAAUACAAAUAUGCUAGCUUUAAUUCUGCUGUCAAUAUGCAAUUAAGAAGAUUAUACCAGCUGCAUGAUAAAGUUCCCCUAAUCUUAAUAACAGUAAACAUGAACAUGUCAGAUGCAAUUAUAGCUUCGAGCAUUUGCAUAACCAGAAAUCCUAACCUGAACAAGCACCAGAAGUGUCUCUCGAACUUUCUCCUUGCUGAUAAAUGGUCUGCUGUUUGAAGUAAGAGCAGGAGUAAGAGAUGGUGGAGGGGUUGGCAGUGGAAAAGGUUGAAGCACUGGGGCACCAUAUGGGCGUUGCAGACUCAGGGGAGGAUUAAGUGGCGGAGCUGUUGGUGUAGAUGAAGAGACAAGCUGCAUCAUCCGUGCAUANNNNNNNNNNNNNNNNNNNNNNNNNNNNNNNNNNNNNNNNNNNNNNNNNNNNNNNNNNNNNNNNNNNNNNNNNNNNNNNNNNNNNNNNNNNNNNNNNNNNNNNNNNNNNNNNNNNNNNNNNNNNNNNNNNNNNNNNNNNNNNNNNNNNNNNNNNNNNNNNNNNNNAGAAGGUAAAGAAAUAGUUGUAUUGGACUGGUAAGGUUGUGCAGAGAUUGCUGCAUUAGAAGUAUUCCCCACAGUCAAAGCUGUCUGCAAUGAUAAGGACAGAUGUCAUAUACAAGGACUUCAUAGAAGUUGAACCUCACACAAAAAUGAAGUGAUAACAUAUGAAAAUAGUAUAUGACUUGCUGCAUUUUUGUGGUAAUGUUGCAUACUUAUGUAGAAACAUAUUAUUUCAAAGAAAACAUACACUGAAGAAGUUCACAAAAGCAGGAUCUUCAGGAACAUCAACAGCAUUUGAGGGAGUUGACUCUAGAGGACCAUCCAUAACUGCCAUAGUUGGAACAGCUUCCAGUUCCUCAAACUCACUGCAGUUUAACAUAAAAGGAACUUGAUGACCAAUUUAAGUAAUAAUUAGAUGAUAUAAGAGGUUAGGGAAAAUGAUGAGUGGACCCUUAUGGAAGAUGAUUUCACCUUAGCUAAACACGAAAAUAAAAUGAAAUCAAAGCUGAAUCCUCGAGUGCAAUGCAAAUAAUUUUUUCUCUCUCUUCUCUAACUCCUCUUAUUCGAAAUUGCUCAUCAUUGUGCAGUUCCUCGAGAUUUUGCUAGAGUAGAGAAAGCUAUUCUCCCGUUAAGUGCAGAGGAAAGAGAAGGGCAAGGGCCUGGUAUGAUGCUAUUCUAUAGGAAGUGAGCAGGUGAAGGGUUAAAAUAUUUUGCAAUUUGGAGGUGGUGUUUUUUAGUGUGUGUACUUCUGAAUUUAUUACCUCUUUAGGAUCCAUAGAAAUUGCCUCUUGUUCAGCAUGCACUGUGCCUACGAGUAAGGCGAGCUUGCAUGGUAUCUAUUGUCUAUUUACUUGGAUAUUCAAACAGGACUACCAGCAACCAAACACAAAUCCCCAAACAAAACACUCUUUCAAGUGCAAGGAAAGAGUAACUUGGGCAUAUUUAUGGUUCAAGCACUACCAUAACUAAGAAUGUGAUGCUGUCCACAAACAUAUAUCAGUGCCUUUUGAACUACAUCACAUGCUCGAAGACUUUUUUUUUAGUCAUACAUAAAUUAGCUAUAAAAUUAAGACCAUUAUACAACUAAAAAGAAAGAAAAAUUGUUUGCCACUACAUAUCAAAACUGGUAAUAGCAAUGUAAGAUGGCAGACUUCUUACUUAAACAGAUGAGAGGCUACAAAUAAAAAAUUUGUGCAAAUAAAAUAUAUGAUAAAGAGCAUAAUACCUUCUUGGGGGCUAAAAAUAAUAUACAACUUGUGAAAUAUAAAUUGAGCUACCAUUACCUUUUAGAUGUGGCAACUUUCGACUUUUGAGGCACCUUGGAAUAUGCAUUCAGAAUCCUGCAUUUGGAAACCAAAUAAACAACGUUAAUAACAAUUUUACAAUAGAAAAAUUAAAAAUUGAUAAAUGGCAGUUGUAAUUUAUGUAUGUGUAAAGAUAGCAUCACAUCCAGGGUCCUCCCAUAAACAUGCUUGUAACAAGAAUUAGUUUGCCUCAACUGCUAGCAACUAUACAAUAGUAAAAAUCACUCUUAUGAACUCAACAAUACUAGGCACCAAUAAGAGUAUGAUACAGCCAUUCUAAAUGGAAGAGAAUACAACUGUUUUACAACUAUGUUGCAUCAGGAGAUAUGUUAGGAGGAUUAAUCCAGAUACCUUCCAACCCAAUUAGGAAAACUCGAGUCAGAAACCAGGAGCUGCAACCAAACCUUACAAUCAUGAAGGAAGAAGGAGACUUGGGGCAUUUUUCCAGAUAGGUGACUUACAAGAUCUCCUGCCAAGAAAAUAUCUAUUGCUUUGAACCUCCAUUGAAAUUUCUUUUCCCUUUUUCUUGUUUUGACUUGGAACUUUCCAGCAUCAUCUAUUUGAUCUUUUUUAGAGCUAAAAUAGCCAUCUAUGGGUUGUCAACAUCUUAUCCCCCCCCCCCCCCCGGGGGGGCCCCCAAAAAAAAAAAACCAAUGAGUUGUCAAUAAAUAGCGCCUACUCAACUUAUGUUCUCCAAUGGAUGACAAUGUGCAAAUCGACCUAGCAGCCACAUUUUUCCCCCCUUUCAACCACCAUUAGGCAACUUUUCUAACCUUUCUUCAUUGCCCACGUCUACAGAACUAUCAUAUAAAGACUACAUUAUUAUUGGGAUAGAGAAAAAAAUACAGAUUAUAUUAUUAUUAUAUCUCAUUUUAUUAAUUAACUAGUGCAAGACUUAUUUAGUGUCAAAUCAAGAACUAAUUAGAAAAGACAACUCAUGAUAAUACAGACCUUAAAAAGCAAUAGCUAGCAACACCCCAUAUACUCCUAUUUUAGCCUUCAAUAUCCUGGUAAAAACACAAUUAAGUCUUGCAAAAGAACAUUCACAAGUAAAUUCAACAUUAAUUAAGAUUAAGUAUCUACUGCACCUUCAAUCAAUGACUGGGUGAAUAGCAUGGUCAACCAUCCGGUUCCUGUAGCCCUCCUUGUACCUAUGUUAGUUACAUUUUACAUAUUAAGCCACGAAAAUGAAGGAUCACAGCCUGGUAAAGAAAGCCAUUAAUUAAUAGUUUUUGUUUAAAAAGUUCUCGUUUAGAUCUUUCCUAUUCAAUGAAUCAAUGUAAUCCAUGGAGAACUCUUCCAUUUCAAGCAGUGUUGGAAGAUAAUUGGAAAGCCUAAAGAUAAUAUACAAGGACCAAGAUAUCAAUUAGGUCAAAUAGUGAAUGUCAAAUAUAAAAAAUAAAUAAAAGAAGUUGUACAUGAUCAUUUACUAUCAAGUUCUGUAAAACUGAAAAUACCAUUAUCCCUGUAGAGAUUCUCAAACAACUCUUUAGCAAAUUAUAAAAUAAUUAAAAAAAGAACGAAAGUUUAAAAAAAAAAAAUGUACAACAGCCAUAUCAGGAGAUGUUUUUCUUCUCAAUCUCAAUAUUUUCUAGCCGUAAAACAAUUGAAAAGCUUAACACCAAGUGAAUUAUUAAGAAUUCAUCAUUUAAAUUCCCAAAUCGCGAAAUGUUGGUGCAACUAGGAAAGUGCAAAUGCAAUCACUUUACUAACACAAGAAACAUCAAUAGUGAGAAGCCAACUUUGUAUCAAAUUUGAAACAGAUAGAUAGAGGUCAAAAAAAUUAUAAAGACACUCAAUUAAAAGCCUUUCAAACAGCUUUUGCAUGCAACAAGAACAAAUCAAAGGCGAUGUGAAUGUAUUGAAAGACUAAUUUACAAUCAUCUACAGGACAUAAAUAUCUUGGAUAACUACUCUCUAUACCUUACUGUCCCACUGAAAAUCAUCAAAUCCCUCCAAACAAAAAUGACAAAAUGGAUAAGAAUUGUGUGGUCAAACUUCAAUAACUUAGCAGCCACAGCAAAAACUUAUGUAGACACGCAAGCCACUCAAAAUAGUCAUAUUGUUUGCUUUCCAAACACAAGCCACUUUGUAAUGAAUAUUCAUAAAUUGCUACUACCAUGUUUGUUAAAACACGUGAAAACCACCAUCACUAACUAAAUGUAACUGAUGAUCAUCAUCACGUUCAUGGAAUCACAUGUCUGACAGUAUUAAUUAGUGCAAAUGGCAUGCUUCUUAAAACUCCUUAUUUAUCACAUGGGCGCCAUUCCAAUCAACCAAUGAUUCUGAUCUAGUCAGCAUAUUCAACCUACGAGCCAGUAAUACCUCCAUUGCUUCUUUAGAUUUCUCAACGAAAUUCCGCAUUCUAACCAUACUUCUGAACUUGUUGCUCCGAUAGACUAAUACAAUAUAAAGAUUUCUUCCCACACCACCUCAGCCCCCACUCCUAAAAAACCAAUUUAAAUUCUCAUUGACUGUACAACCUAUAGUCCAUACCAAAUUGAAAAAUUUACAAAUAUAGAACCUCAAAGAAUCUUCUUGUGUUCCAUUUUUUUACGGGAAGAAAAUUGACUUUUACCACAUGCAAGUCAACAAAUAAAACAAUCAUGUCUUUGUGAGAUGCACAUUUUCAGACGAAUCUGAAGAACAAUGAAACCAUAAAAACCUAAUAUGAGAACACCGAGGACUCCAGAUAUCAUCUAUAGAAUCUUUGGUCCACCCUUGCAUGAUGAAAAAAAAUUGAAGGCUUCGUCACCAACUCCCCAGGUUGUUUUGUUCUCCUAUCUCCUAAAUGUAAAGGAAAGGCAACCUGUUCUUUUUCCAAUCUUAAGGGGCACAGAACGACUCUGGUAUAAAAUAGUCAGUUUCUAUACAAAAAUAACUCCUUUGCACUUGGCACUGCACAUCUCAAAAUAAAAAGCAUGCAAGGAGGAGAUAUAAUAGCAUUAAACAAGUUUUAUUAACCAAACUUCAAAGAUGCCACACAAGGCAAAAAAGAAAUCUGUACAAGCCAGAUCCCAAGAAUAAUAAUUCCAAUACACAAUUCAGGAAAACAAUAACUAAAACCAGGUUCAUGAGGCCUCAGCAGAAGCAACAUGUAAUAGCCAUACUCUAUUAUUUGAAACCCAUUUCCAAGUUUGGUUAAGAUUCUAAACUAUUCUCUAUGUGUCAAUUAUUAACAUGUAAAACAUAAUAAUACACUUAAACUACUACAGUAGUAAAACCAGUAAAACAACAAUACCUGCUAAAAAGAUUUGCUACCUCUUCACAUUCACGAGCAUUGUCGAACCAAAUCCCAUUUACUUCUUGGGAUGCAUUCCGAUAUAACAAAUACGGAACCUGAACUUCAAACUCAAAAUCUCCCAAAAGAUUUUCCACUAAAUUAUCUGCACAUAUCCAAGAUAUUGAAGCUUAUCAGUGCAAAAACAUAUGCAAAAAGACAUGAAGGUUAGGAGAUAUAACUAAAACAUAUCAACAACUGAUAAGCACAACAAGACAUGAAAUAUAACACAAGUUGUAAACAAGAUAGACACACGAUAUCUAAAUAAUUGUACCAACCCCCUCUCCUGAUGGUCAUAAAACGACCAAUAUUUAACGCUAGACAACAACAUUGCAAAUACUUUAGCCUCUGUAAUAUUGGCAUAUAAAUAUUUUCGGUUAGGUACAUUAUUUUCUUCGUUCUAAAACCUCAAUAAUUAGCUAGAACUGUGAUAAAGUGAUUCAUCACUGAAAUUAAAACUAGUUCACGUACAAAUAAUCAAAACUGAAAUAGAAGCAACGAUAAACCAACCUGUAUUACGUCGAUUCAUCACAACAAACUGAAAUCGAGGCUGUGUGUUCCUGAAAAUUGAAAAAAUAAUAAUUUCACCAACUUCAUAUGUAAUACAAUCUCCAAAACACCGAAUAUCAAAUGAAAAAAUGGAAAGCAUAAGAGAGAAAAGAAUCUAAUUUUAUUGACCUUUUGACGACGAAGAGAGAUCCUUCAACAUCCUUACGACUCCAUUGGCUGAGAUCGAUGUUGAACUCGUAGAAGGUGACAUGAGCGGCCGUGAUGAGGAUUUCCUCAAUGAAUGGAUCGAUUAGCUGAAGAACUGUCAGGUUUAGGAGUUUUGUGCUCUGCUGGUCCAGAUUAGGCAUCAAUUUUCCGUUCUGCGACAUUUUUUAUAGUCGUUUUGGGCUCUGCCCCGAGCACUAGCCCUCAGGUUUUUCUGUGAGCUCUCUCUUUUGUAAAUGAAGUGUUUGAU